rnacentral:lncRNA from 1 species
AAAUGUUAAAAAGCCAGCAAUCCACACCGUGCUUUCUGUGGGCAAAAAUGCUGAUUUUCCAGGCAAGUUGGCAUUCUUCGGUCACUUUCUUGUUGCAGCAGUUUCUAGCCCUCGCAUAUAUAUACUUGCCAUCCCAUUUUCCUUUCAACAAAUCAGCCACAAUCUAAAAAAAAGAAGACGUUGUUUUUCAAUCUUGGAAGUCCAGCUUCUCAUCACAGCAAAUCAUCAGUUUUCUCAAAUGAGUUGCAUAUUCCUCACCCUUUCUCUCCGCCUAUUCCCUUCUCUCUGCGGCUUCUUUGUCAUUGUCCUCCACAUGUCCACCAUCAAAUGGCAUACAGCUCACAUGAUCAGCACCUCUCUAACAACAAUAUUUCAAGCAUCAGUUUACGGAUUCCUACUCUUCCACUCUCGUUCCUCUUCCUACAGGUGCGGGCAGCAUGCUAUUAUAGGGGAUCCUCCCACUGCACUGGAAACUUAAAGAGAUAUUUAGCACUGGUGUUGUGCUUGGAGGUUACUUGGCCCUGAUGACAGUAUUGUUCUUCUGGAUUAUGAAAGACACAGACUUUUUCUCAGCUUGUGUUUCCCUUUAUUCAGAUUUUAUAUAUUUAUAUGAUUUUCGUAAGACAGGAUAAGUUUUGUGCAAGAUCACUGAGAGAUAGCAAAUAUGAAAUGAUGGCGGCCUUGCACUUGCAAGUGAGUAUUGUGAGCCAGGCCCUCAUUUUCGUCAGACGAUCCCGCAGCUGGUCUUUCGUUGAACGUCCUGGACUUCUUCUUGUCAGUGCGUUUGUAGUCGCUCAGCUGGUAAGGAUUCAUCUUAUCCGCCAAUCGCUACUCCAUUCCAUCCUUUACAAAGUACAGGUCCCAGGUUCGCGCUUUCCUUUCCUUUGAACAUGAGCUCUUAGAUAGAUAUCAGCAUAGCUUCGUAAUUAAACUCCUCGCACAUCUUCUCUGAAAGCGAGAGCCUGAGAUGCAUUGCUUGCAUCUUCAUUGGGUCUUACGUACUUAAAAACAAAAAACUGAAUGACCAACAUACUGUAAUGGUCUAGUUCCAUCGCCCAACGACCAAUAUUUUCUGAGCAAUAUUUGUAUACCAUAACAGCUACCUUAUUCAUUACACAAACAUAUAUAAUUACAAAGACGAUAUGUCAUCUUAUAUUGCGGCAUGCAGUGAAAAAACAUAUCUGCAAACUUUAUAAAAAAACAACAAAAGAAGAUCACAAAGCAUGGCAAAAGCAUAAGAUUUGGUAUGUAGAAAUACAAUUGGCCGCGAUGUUAUUUUUUGCAAAACUAAUUAUCAUGCACAGCUGUCAGACAAAGAAACACAAGAACCCAGAACGUGGUGCAGAAUAUCAAAUCAUAUGCGUUAGGACUUGAUGAAACGAAGAUAGUAUGCAGAAUCACACAAAGCAGAAAGAAAAGAGAAAAGAGAGAAGCCAAUCUUUUUAACAACAUGGCAACUAAGAGGAAAAUAUUCUAACCUUGAAGUCCAAACUCUCUCCUGAAAGACGAUAUGAUAAAGGGAACAACGAACUGCAAAGGAAAGCAUAACAAAUCAUGGCCACCCGC